UCAACCUGGUUGAUCCUGCCAGUAGUCAUACGCUCGUCUCAAAGAUUAAGCCAUGCAUGUCUAAGUAUGAACUAUUUAUACUGGAGAAACUGCGAAUGGCUCAUUAUAUCAGUUAUAGUCUAUUUGAUAGUACCUUACUACUUGGAUAUCCGUAGUAAUUCUAGAGCUAAUACAUGCCUAAAUACCCGACUUUU
rnacentral:rRNA from 1 species